GUUUUUAUAAUUUAAUUUAAAAUGAUGGUUUUGUAAAUCAUAAAUGAAGUCAAUUCUUAAAACA
rnacentral:tRNA from 1 species